rnacentral:miRNA from 1 species
UGUGUAAUGGUUUGGAUAAGAAUGGGCCCCCAAGGGCUGGAGAGAUGGCUCAGCUGUUAAAGGCUAGGCUCACAUCCAAAAAUAUA